UUGUACUGGAACAUGCAGAACUUUAUGACUAUGAAGUGAACAUGUCUGCAUCAUCCAUCACACUGUGAGUCUGACAACGCUUGGCAUCUCAGGGUGAAACUUUUACUGUUUUGACUCCUUUAAGAUCUACAGACUGAUCAUGAUAAACUUGAUAAACAUUGUAAAAAUGUGUUUGCUUGUGGCGUGUUAGAGUGGUUUCAUCAGCAGUUAAAUCAGCUGACUAAUCAUAUGAACGCUCCACACAUUGUUGUAUUUGAGCGAAUAUUGUUAGGUGUCGUAGCAACCUCUCACAUACUCGGCCCAAUGACUACCAGCAUAAAAAACUCACACCUCAAUGUAGUUGAAUUUCUAAGCUAUCGAGCAUCUCUAAUUUAUAAUACAGUACAUUUUAAGAGGGUUUAUUUUAAAUCAGCUAACCUUUCCCUCUGAAUGGAUGAGCAUGUACGGUAGAUGUCUAACCCCUUCUUGUUAAUUUCUUGUGUAUUGUUGUGGAUUGGUUGAGGUGUGUCUUGAAUGCUGAUUGGAAGUGAGAAGAGACACGAGAGACAAAGUCACCGGUAAUGGGAAGUCACCUUCUCUGGUGUCUCAUAUCCUUAAAUCCCUGUGAGGGUGGACAAGCAGCAACAGUUUUCUCUGCAGAACCGACACAAGACUUCAUACACACACACUAAGUCCAACAGGCUGAGACUCCUCCUCACAUACGCCUGCAUCAUGCCAAGUCAGUCUCCACUUGUGCUGGGAACAGAAAACCUGUCCUGCACCCAUCUAGCCUGCCCAGGGACACCCCCAGCACAUCAUCCAGGCCAGGGCGCUCCAUGUUCGGGUGCUCAAGGUUCCACAACGCCCUCAGACCCAUCGAGCCUACUGAACAACCACAUUUUCCUUGAUCACACAGACAAGAAGUCUGUCCAGACUAUGCUUCAGCCAGGAUGGCUACAGGGGUCACAAACCAGUUCCGACACCAACUACCAGGGUCUUGGACUUCAGCCCAAACCUGGAGCCCCAGUCCCCACUGUUAGCGCAGCCGUAGAGGGGGGAGGAGACAGGGGAAAAGAUGCAGGAGCAGCUCAGAGAAAGAAGCAUCACUGUAGGGUGUGUGGGCAUCUGCUACUCGCUGUUGUCCUAGCUGUCUUCUCCCCGCUGGUAGCUCUGGGAGUCUGCAUGGCUGAUAUCCUGACUGGAGAGUGCUGUAAUGUGCAAGACAUGGACUCUGCGGAUGACCCAUAGACUUAUAUUUACCUUUAUAUACAGUGUAUGGGAUGACCUGAUGUGAAAGAGAAGAUAUAUAAGGGCUUUGUGUGUAUUACUGCAUGUGACCUUAAAGGAUAUCAGAAGUUUUCCCUGUUUAACCAUUUAUUUAUGAAUUACAUACACAUUACUGAUAAACAAUCUUCAUAGCAUGCGUUUUUAGACUGAGUUCCUAUCUUUCUAUUGUUUUUUGUUCACUUCAGUACUGUAUGAAAAUCAACUUGCAGCGAGAAAUUUGCUUGAGACUCAAUCCAUUGCUGUGAAAAUCUUACCGACUUCAUGUUAAGUUAGAGUCAUGUAAACCUCUGGUGGUACUGCAGUUGGGAGCAAGGACAAUAUUAAAAAUCUCCACUUGUGGUGCAUUCAAGGAACCUCCAACAUUCAAGUAUUGAUAGUGGCUGUCCAACAUUAUUGCAUUCACAAGUAGUGUUGCUGGAAAAGGAAAUCUUGAAGACAAACAGUGACCCCAGUUGACCAAUCAACUGCAUUACUGCAAAGAACCAGUAUUUAAAAACAAUGCCUUUGCUGUAAAGUCUGUGAGUGAUUUUUGUGGAAUACUAAAAUGAAACCAGUGACUGCCUGGAACUUAAUCUAAAAAGAACAUGUAUGAGAUGAUUUGAAAAAUUGACGUCAUCAAUUAAAUAUUGGGAUAAAACCAAUGGUACGAUCCUUUCAGACAGUGUAACACCUGUGCCUAAUGUGAAAUUGAUUGUAUCUUCUCAGCAAUAUUGUUCAUCUGUUCUACAGAACUCCUUUGUUGUCAUUCAUAUUAAUUAUGAUUUCCUGUCAUCCAUUUAAGGAAUGAAGAUAAAUUGUACAGCACUAAAAAUACACUUUUCCAUGUCAUGUGCACCACCCAGUGGCCUGAUAGUACCGUGCUUGUAUUGAAGCUAAGUUAUAUGGUGCCAAUGUGCUUUUUACAUAACCUCAACAGUUAAUUUACGUAAUCCUGUUCCACAUACAAACUGUAGAUAUUUCAGCUGUAACUGUCAGAUCAAGAGAAUUAAAUAUAGUCACCUCGCUCAAUGGUGGAAAGUAACUAAGUACAUUUACUCAAGUACUAUACUUGUGUACAAUAUUGAGGUACUUGUACUUUACUUGAGUAUUUCCAUUUAAUGCUUUAUUAAAGAUUAAACCAGUGGUUUUGCCCUGUGACCCCUUACAAAAAAAGUGUAUAGUUGUGGCCCCUUGUCACGUGUCAGAUAUCCAUGAAUUACCAGUUCCAUCAAAAUUGAUUUCCCCUCCAAACUUCUAAUGGUUUCAUUUAAAUAACAGUUUGAGGCCUAAAGAGGUCAAACUCUCCAAUAUUUCACCACAAAAGCCAAGAGUAAUGAAUAGUCCAAAAUGUGAAUACAUAUUUGUGUAACAGAACUUUGUUUUUUCUUCUUCCUACCCCAUUAAUCAUCUCACGACCCCCCAGAUUUAUUUUGUGACCCGAUCCCUAGGGUGGAAACCACUGCACUUGCAACAUAUGUCACAGGGGGCAAUUUUCUGCAUAAUGAGAAUUUUUAUUUUUAAUACUUUAAGUACAUUUUGUUGAUACUUCUGUACUUUUACUUCUGUCGGAUUUUGGAUGCCAGACUUUGUUUUAGUGGUGUAUUUUUAUAUUGUUGUAUUGGUACUUUUACUUAAAUAAAGGAACAAAAUUCUUCUUCCACAGCUGAUCUGACCAAAGAAAAGUGACAAAAAUAAUCAGUCUGCAUUGUGGAUCAAUGUUAAAGCCUGUUAUUCAUUGAAAACAUUUAUUACAUUUUUUAUGAUGCAAACAACAGCAAGUCCCACCCUUCUUGGAACAGCUCAUCACGUAGUCAUGAGGGAGUGAAAGAGACACAAAGGGACAGGGACAGAAAAAAUGUGUAUUAAGCGCAAUUCCAUUGUUUCUGUAAAAACAAAACAAAACAUGACAAUCAGCUCUCAUUGUAAAUUUUGGCAUCUUUUUUCCCCUCAUGUUGUACUCUGGAGUAAUGGUCAUUAAAAAUGAAAAGAACAAGGCAUGCAUAAUAGUUUAUGGUAAUGCACAUAGAUCAAAGGAUACCACUUAUAAAUACAAAAUCCAUGUACGAUGUUCAUGUACAUUUCAUAUAUACUGUAUAGUCCCUUUCUUAGAGGUGUCUUAGGCCUCUCUACCUGUUCCCGCUGUGGGACGGUGUCCUCUGUUAUCUACGCUUGGUCACUAGAUUCACCCUAUAAAAAGGUCUGUGCUGGAAAAUAAAUCUGUAGGAUGGACUUCUAAUAUUGACAAUUACUUGAUGUAUUCCUCCCUUCAUCUAUUACUGCAUGUUAUUAUUACGCUAU